UAUAGGUUAUACGACUGACGGAAGUGGAAUAAACCACAUGAAGUAUAACAAAUAAAAAGCCGACCGUCUGGGCAAAAGUC
rnacentral:ncRNA from 1 species